rnacentral:rRNA from 1 species
CGAACGCUGGCGGCGUGCUUAACACAUGCAAGUCGAGCGGUGAACCUCUUCGGAGGGGAUCAGCGGCGAACGGGUGAGUAACACGUGGGCAACCUGCCCCAGACACCGGGAUAACCCAGGGAAACCUGAGCUAAUACCGGAUACUCCGCGCGGAUCGCAUGAUCCGUUCGGGAAAGCUCCGACGGUCUGGGAUGGGCCCGCGGCCUAUCAGCUUGUUGGCGGGGUAACGGCCCACCAAGGCGACGACGGGUAGCUGGUCUGAGAGGACGACCAGCCACACUGGGACUGAGACACGGCCCAGACUCCUACGGGAGGCAGCAGUGGGGAAUAUUGGACAAUGGGCGAAAGCCUGAUCCAGCCAUGCCGCGUGAGUGAUGAAGGCCCUAGGGUUGUAAAGCUCUUUCAACGGUGAAGAUAAUGACGGUAACCGUAGAAGAAGCCCCGGCUAACUUCGUGCCAGCAG